CCCGAGACGUUGACCGUGAGUGCCACUCGUUGAGUGAGCUGACGAACCUGGGAGAGAGCUUUGUGUGUAGAGAGAGAGAGAGCGGAGCUGCUUCAGCCGUGUAAGCCUCUGUUGGACUCCGAUUGUUUUUUUUGCUAGAUCAGAUAUUGAUCAGAUUCUGAACCUUUGGUGGUUCAGUGGCGAGCCAGGCGAUUGACAGCAGACGGAGAUCGGGAUCCACUCCGAAGACCAAAGACUUCUACUCAUUUUCCUUUGAUUCAGAUAAGAACGUUCACCAUAAAACCUACCCGGGUAGUAGAACGAACACAGGGUUAAAACCCCAUCUUCUGAUAUAGAAGAAAGGACACUUUUCUUUGAACUUUAUUUUAUUUUUUUAUUUUAUUGAAAGAGCUCUAUUUUUGUUUGUUCCUAAUUCACUGCACUGCAAAAUAGGAAUUGUUGGCAAGGCAAUAAAUGAUCACUGUUCAACUUCCA